rnacentral:rRNA from 1 species
UACGAAGGGAGCUAGCGUUGUUCGGAAUCACUGGGCGUAAAGCGCACGUAGGCGGAUGUGUCAGUCAGGGGUGAAAUCCCGGAGCUCAACUUCGGAACUGCCUUUGAUACAGCACGUCUUGAGUCCGAUAGAGGUGGGUGGAAUUCCAGGUGUAGCGGUGAAAUGCGUAGAUAUCUGGAGGAACACCGGUGGCGAAGGCGGCAUCCUGGACCAAUAUUGACGCUGAGGAGCGAAAGCCAGGGGAGCAAACGGG